rnacentral:rRNA from 1 species
GGCUCAGAUUGAACGCUGGCGGCAUGCUUUACACAUGCAAGUCGAACGGCAGCACGGGGGCAACCCUGGUGGCGAGUGGCGAACGGGUGAGUAAUAUAUCGGAACAUGUCCGGAAGUGGGGGAUAACGUAGCGAAAGCUACGCUAAUACCGCAUACGAUCUAUGGAUGAAAGCGGGGGAUCGCAAGACCUCGCGCGAUUGGAGCGGCCGAUAUCAGAUUAGCUAGUUGGUGGGGUAAAGGCCCACCAAGGCGACGAUCUGUAGCUGGUCUGAGAGGACGACCAGCCACACUGGAACUGAGACACGGUCCAGACUCCUACGGGAGGCAGCAGUGGGGAAUUUUGGACAAUGGGCGCAAGCCUGAUCCAGCAAUGCCGCGUGCAGGACGAAGGCCUUCGGGUUGUAAACUGCUUUUGUACGGAACGAAAAGGUCUGCCCUAAUGCGGCGGGCUCAUGACGGUACCGUAAGAAUAAGCACCGGCUAACUACGUGCCAGCAGCCGCGGUAAUACGUAGGGUGCAAGCGUUAAUCGGAAUUACUGGGCGUAAAGCGUGCGCAGGCGGUUUUGUAAGACAGAUGUGAAAUCCCCGGGCUCAACCUGGGACCUGCAUUUGUGACUGCAAAGCUAGAGUACGGCAGAGGGGGAUGGAAUUCCACGUGUAGCAGUGAAAUGCGUAGAUAUGCGGAGGAACACCGAUGGCGAAGGCAAUCCCCUGGGCCUGUACUGACGCUCAUGCACGAAAGCGUGGGGAGCAAACAGGAUUAGAUACCCUGGUAGUCCACGCCCUAAACGAUGUCAACUGGUUGUUGGGUCUUCACUGACUCAGUAACGAAGCUAACGCGUGAAGUGACC